rnacentral:lncRNA from 1 species
UCCUGCCACAAAUAUCACGAACCCCUGAUUAAAACACAAACUUUAAUUAUUUAAUUAACUAAGAAAUAUAAUUUAAACUAUUUCUAAUCCCUUAAACCCUUAAGUUCAUAGAUCCCUAAAAUGGGCCCCUAAUAUCAGACUUAGACCCUAAGAACAAGUAAACUAAAACCCCAAAAUCAGAACCCUUUAAACCCACAGCCAAUUGUGGCCCAAAACAGAUUAGGCCCAAUUGAACCAAACCAGAUGACAGGUCUAGAUCAAAUUUCGGGCCCAACCCAAACCAGCCCACAGAUCCAAUCAGGCCCAACUCAGCCCAAAUUAGAUCAACUCUGAACGAACCAGAUUACACUCAAAACAACCCAUAACAAAUCCAUUCAAUCAAACUCAAAUCAAACCCAAUUUAAAGGAUAGGUGGA